rnacentral:rRNA from 1 species
AGGACGAACGCUGGCGGCGUGCUUAACACAUGCAAGUCGAGCGAGGCCCUUCCUUCGGGAAGGUGUCCUAGCGGCGAACGGGUGAGUAACACGUGGGCAACCUGCCCAUAGCUCUGGGAUAAGCGUUGGAAACGGCGUCUAAUACCGGAUAUGACACGGGACGGCAUCAUCUCCGUGUGGAAAGAAUUUCGGCUAUGGAUGGGCCCGCGGCCUAUCAGCUAGUUGGUGAGGUAAUGGCUCACCAAAGCGACGACGGGUAACCGGCCUGAGAGGGCGACCGGUCACACUGGGACUGAGACACGGCCCAGACUCCUACGGGAGGCAGCAGUGGGGAAUAUUGCACAAUGGGCGAAAGCCUGAUGCAGCGACGCCGCGUGAGGGAUGAAUGCCUUCGGGUUGUAAACCUCUUUCAGUAGGGACGAAGCGAAAGUGACGGUACCUGCAGAGAAGCGCGGCCAACUACGUGCCAGCAGCCGCGGU